GAUGCACGCUGCCGGCGUGCCUAAUACAUGCAAGUCGAGCGAACAGACGAGGAGCUUGCUCCUUUGACGUUAGCGGCGGACGGGUGAGUAACACGUGGCUAACCUACCUAUAAGACUGGGAUAACUUCGGGAAACCGGAGCUAAUACCGGAUAACAUGUUGAACCGCAUGGUUCAACAGUGAAAGACGGUCUUGCUGUCCCUUAUACAUGGAUCCGCGCCGCACUAGCUAGUUGGUAAGGUAACGGCUUACCAAGGCAACGAUGCGUAGCCGACCUGAGAGGGUGAUCGGCCACACUGGAACUGAAACACGGUCCAGACUCCUACGGGAGGCAGCAGUAGGGAAUCUUCCGCAAUGGGCGAAAGCCUGACGGAGCAACGCCGCGUGAGUGAAGAAGGUCUUCGGAUCGUAAAACUCUGUGAUUAGGGAAGAACAAAUGUGUAAGUAACUAUGCACGUCUUGACGGUACCUAAUCAGAAAGCCACGGCUAACUACGUG
rnacentral:rRNA from 1 species